rnacentral:tRNA from 1 species
AAAACUUAAGAAAGAAUUCUUAUUCUAUUAAUUU